CCCAGUUAUAACCCGUCUCUUUCCCAUUUCAAUCUCUUCUCCUCUCAUCACCUUCUCUACCCCCUCCCCCCUUCUCCGGCGACGUCACCAUUAUUGUUGCCAGUCACCGCCGCCGCCGUCCCUACCCAGCUGAAAAAAGCUUGUUUCAGAUAUAACAUUGAAAAAAGAGUUUGCCUAAUUGACUACUUCCUCCAAAUCUGUCCCCCAUUUUCUACGCUCUCACACUUUCUUCACUUCAUUUUCCCCAUAUCUCACGCCCUUCUCUUCUUCCAAUAGUCUCCACCUUCAUUUUCCAUCUUCUAGUUGUUUGUGCUUGAUUUAAGAGAUCAUUGUGCUGCCUCUAUUGACAACUUUGACGAUCAGUAGACAACAUCCUUAAUCUUUCUGAUACCUCAACGAAGACAUUCUUUGAGCCAUUUCGACAUUUUAGAGAUCUGAGAGGGAUAAUGCACUUGACAAUCUUGACGGUGUAGUGAUAUGACUAUUCUGGCUAUGGAAUUAGCCAGGAAGAUUUGAUUCUUUAUGGGCAAUCUGUUGGAAGUGGCCCAACAUUACACUUAGCAGCUAAAUUACCACGGUUGAGAGGUGUGGUUCUGCACAGUGGCAUUCUUAUUAGGUGUGGUUCUGCACAGUGGCAUUCUUAUCAGACUUCUUAUGCAGUGUUUACUUGAUAAAGAAAUUGACAUUUCAUUGGAAAAUGAUUGAAGUUUAAACAAGUGAUGAGGUUGGUUACCAGACAACUUGCUUCGAGGGGGAUUCCGUCAUAUCCUGAUGAUGCUCGUAACCCCCAUACUCAAUCUAGUGGUGCGGAUGAUGAUGGGACUCACGUGUCAAACACACAAAGGCAUGUUUGAAUGUUAAUGUUGUGGUGGAUUUGUGGAUUGUGUAAGUGUUUUGUGGAUGUUUGCGAGGGGUGAAGUAGUCUAAUGUUGUAGACUUAAUGUAGACUUGUUUAAUGUUUUGUGGAUGUUUGCAAAGGUUGAAGUAGUUUAAUGUCUCUUGUGAAUGUUUGAAUGAUGUUUUGAUUUAACUUUGAAGUAGUUUCGAAUUGAAUUUGAUGUAUUAGUGAUUGUAAUAUAUGUGUUUGUUGAAGUAGCUUAAUGUUUUAUGUAUUUGUAGUAGUUUGGUGAAUUGUUGGCAGCUAUUU